rnacentral:lncRNA from 1 species
GAAUGGUAUUUGAUAUAGAAUUAAUACCUUGUGACUGAAUGUUGGUUGGCUGUUUGCCGCUGAGUUUUAACAAACUGAAAUGGCUGAAAUAAUAGAAUAGAUCGAACUUGUUCCUUUAAAUAACUGUAAGUUGUAAUUGGAAGGAGAUGAUGAAUCAAGGCUACUCUUACCUUAAAGUUUGGCAGGGAAAUGAAUGAAUGUCUUAACUUGCUUUUCGGAUACGGCGUGUCGAAUGAUCUGGAACUAAAAAUUUGUGUUGUUGUUUCAGUAAUUGCAGGUGAUCAAUCGAAGAAGGUGGGGCAUUAAAGCAAGGCUUACCUUGAGAACUUGGCUGAA